rnacentral:rRNA from 1 species
UACGUAGGGUGCGAGCGUUAAUCGGAAUUACUGGGCGUAAAGCGUGUGUAGGCGGCCACGUAAGUCGGAUGUGAAAGCCCUGGGCUCAACCCAGGAAGUGCACUCGAUACUGCGUGGCUCGAGUACUGGAGAGGUUGGUGGAAUUCUCGGUGUAGAGGUGAAAUUCGUAGAUAUCGAGAGGAACACCGGUGGCGAAGGCGGCCAACUGGACAGAUACUGACGCUGAGACACGAAAGCGUGGGGAGCAAACAGG